rnacentral:rRNA from 1 species
ACGAACGCUGGCGGCAGGCCUAACACAUGCCAGUCGAGCGCGCCCUUCGGGGUGAGCGGCGGACGGGUGAGUAACGCGUGGGAACGUGCCCUUCUCUGCGGAAUAGCCUCGGGAAACUGAGAGUAAUACCGCAUACGCCCUUUGGGGGAAAGAUUUAUCGGAGAAGGAUCGGCCCGCGUUGGAUUAGGUAGUUGGUGGGGUAAUGGCCCACCAAGCCGACGAUCCAUAGCUGGUUUGAGAGGAUGAUCAGCCACACUGGGACUGAGACACGGCCCAGACUCCUACGGGAGGCAGCAGUGGGGAAUCUUAGACAAUGGGGGCAACCCUGAUCUAGCCAUGCCGCGUGAGUGAUGAAGGCCUUAGGGUUGUAAAGCUCUUUCAGCUGGGAAGAUAAUGACGGUACCAGCAGAAGAAGCCCCGGCUAACUCCGUG